UGGAGGCGCGGUGGCUGUGAGCAGCGGCGCCGGGCUCCUUCACGAUUCCUCUUCAUAGCGGCGAAGACCCGCAACCGCAUCGAGCGGGCAGGCGGCGGAGCGGGUGGCGGGGUUCGGCCUGGCGGCGCGGUGGCGGUUAAUCCGCGGCGGGGUGGUAGGAUCUGAACCGCCGCCUCGUGACCAUGGUCUUCGUUCUCGCUAAGGUCCACCGCUGCCAUCACCGACCUUCUUCUGUGCUCCCCGCCAGCGUCCCCGUCGACAUGCUUCGUGCAGCGUUCUGCAUCCAGGACGACAUUGAGCUUGCAUCCGGCAACAGCGACGGCCGGAAACAGCGGUUGUAACUUUUGCAGACAUCUGAUCUAUUUUUUUUGCAUGCUGACUGAAAGGUGUGGCCUCUUGCCUCCUAUUAUGAAAUAAGAACAGCUGGGGUAGGGCAUCCUCAUUGCA